UCUGCUGAAUGCACCCAUUGGGAUAAACCGUAAUCGUACCCCCUCCUAACUGCCAAAGUGUCAUGGCCGCCGUCGGGACCUAUUGUGCUGACAUUUACAAUGUUUACAUAUAGAAAAGUUUGUUUUUUUCUGCUUAUAAUGCCGUUUUCUAAAGAUAUUAGUGAACAAAAUCGAUUUGCUAACAAUAUUUAAUAUAUUUUAAAUGUGCUAAAAUUGGAUUCAACAGCAAAAGUCGCAUAAAUAACAUAUAAAUAACGAAUUUGUUCACCUAUUACAAAUGGGGUUAUGUGGUUGUAACUGUUUAUUUUGGGAAUAAAAUGAAAAUGAUCAAUUAAACGACUGGAAAACUAUAGUGAAGUGAAGAACAUCUUGAAGUUCCAAUGAUGUUUCAAGAUGAGGUAAAUCGAAAUAAUUGUAUGUGAAGGACAGAGAAUAUGAAGAAAUGUUAUUGCUGCAUAUUUAGUGUAGUGAAAUACAAACUUCAAACAUUAUAAUAUAUUUUUUGAUUUCAAACAUUUCAUAUGAUUAUGAAAGAACAUCUUUCUUUUUAAAACAAUGAAGAAGUGAAGAACAUAAUAAAGUUCCAACGAAAAUGAUUCCAGAUGAGGAAAAUCGAAAUAAUGGUUGUAUGUUACAUGUAUAGAGAAUACGAAGAAAUGUUAUUGCUGCAAACUUAGUGUAGUGAAUUAAAAACUUAUUGUCAAAUACAAAUCAAUUUAUUUCAUACUUUUAUAAUAUAUAGUGAUAUAAUUUUAUAUGUGUUCAAAUAAAAAUAUUAAUAAAUAAAAUACAAUAAACACAAA
rnacentral:lncRNA from 1 species